CGCGGCCUAUCAGCUUGUUGGUGGGGUAACGGCCUACCAAGGCAACGACGGGUAGCUGGUCUGAGAGGACGAUCAGCCACACUGGGACUGAGACACGGCCCAGACUCCUACGGGAGGCAGCAGUAGGGAAUCUUGCGCAAUGGGGGAAACCCUGACGCAGCGACGCCGCGUGCGGGAUGAAGGCCUUCGGGUCGUAAACCGCUUUCAGCAGGGACGAAAUUGACGGUACCUGCAGAAGAAGGCCCAGCCAACUACGUGCCAGCAGCCGCGGUGAUACGUAGGGGUCUAGCGUUGUCCGGAAUCAUUGGGCGUAAAGAGCUCGUAGGCGGUUCGAUUAGUCGGGUGUGAAAUCUCCACGCUCAACGUGGAGGGGCCACUCGAUACUGUCGUGACUCGAGUCCGGUAGGGGAGUUCGGAAUUCCCGGUGUAGCGGUGAAAUGCGCAGAUAUCGGGAGGAACACCAGUGGCGAAGGCGGAACUCUGGGCCGGAACUGACGCUGAGGAGCGAAAGCGUGGGGAGCGAACAGGAUUAGAUACCCUGGUAGUCCACGCCGUAAACGUUGGGCACUAGGUGUGGGACUCUAUCGACGGGUUCCGUGCCGUAGCUAACGCAUUAAGUACCCCGCCUGGGGAGUAC
rnacentral:rRNA from 1 species